UACGUAGGUGGCGAGCGUUGUCCGGAUUUACUGGGCGUAAAGAGCGCGCAGGCGGUCGUUCAAGUCGCGUGUGAAAGCCCCCGGCUCAACUGGGGAGGGUCACGCGAUACUGAUCGACUCGAAGGCAGGAGAGGGUAGUGGAAUUCCCGGUGUAGUGGUGAAAUGCGUAGAUAUCGGGAGGAACACCAGUGGCGAAGGCGGCCUUCUGGACAGUGACUGACGCUGAGACGCGAAAGCGUGGGGAGCAAACAGG
rnacentral:rRNA from 1 species